UACGUAGGGUGCAAGCGUUGUCCGGAAUUAUUGGGCGUAAAGAGCUCGUAGGCGGUCUGUCGCGUCUGCUGUGAAAAUCCAGGGCUCAACCCUGGACCUGCAGUGGGUACGGGCAGACUAGAGUGCGGUAGGGGAGAUCGGAAUUCCUGGUGUAGCGGUGAAAUGCGCAGAUAGUCAGGAGGAACACCGGUGGCGAAGGCGGAUCUCUGGGCCGUAACUGACGCUGAGGAGCGAAAGCAUGGGGAGCGAA
rnacentral:rRNA from 1 species